GCACCCCGUGAACAAUAUUGUUAACAAGUUGUUGAACCAUCAACAUUGUUGCAACUUGUUGACAAUUAUGUUAACAACUUGCAACAGUACUGAUGGUUGAACAACUUGUUAACAAUAUUGUUCACGGGGUGC
rnacentral:miRNA from 1 species